rnacentral:rRNA from 1 species
GACGAACCGUGCGACCGUUAUUCGGAAUCACUGGGCUUAAAGGGCGCGUAGGCGGAUUUGCAAGUCUGUGGUGAAAUCCUCCAGCUUAACUGGAGAAGUGCCAUGGAUACUGCGAGUCUCGAGGAAGGUAGGGGCAUCUGGAACUGCCGAUGGAGCGGUGAAAUGCGUUGGUAUCGGCAGGAACUCCGGUGGCGAAGGCGAGAUGCUGGAGCUUUUCUGACGCUGAGGCGCGAAAGCCAGGGGAGCAAACGGG